rnacentral:rRNA from 1 species
GACGAACGCUGGCGGCGUGCCUAAUACAUGCAAGUAGAACGCACAGUUUAUACCGUAGCUUGCUACACCAUAGACUGUGAGUUGCGAACGGGUGAGUAACGCGUAGGUAACCUGCCUGGUAGCGGGGGAUAACUAUUGGAAACGAUAGCUAAUACCGCAUAAUAUUAAUUAUUGCAUGAUAAUUAAUUGAAAGGUGCAAUUGCACCACUACCAGAUGGACCUGCGUUGUAUUAGCUAGUAGGUGAGGUAACGGCUCACCUAGGCGACGAUACAUAGCCGACCUGAGAGGGUGAUCGGCCGCACUGGGACUGAGACACGGCCCAGACUCCUACGGGAGGCAGCAGUAGGGAAUCUUCGGCAAUGGACGAAAGUCUGACCGAGCAACGCCGCGUGAGUGAAGAAGGUUUUCGGAUCGUAAAGCUCUGUUGUAAGAGAGGAACGGGUGUGAGAGUGGAAAGUUCACACUGUGACGGUAUCUUACCAGAAAGGGACGGCUAACUACGUG